rnacentral:lncRNA from 1 species
AGAGAUCUUCAGAUGCUGCAUUUUAAAGCUGGGCAACAGUACCUAGUGCAGGGCCUGUCGGACAGUGCAAAGGCAUGGUUUGUAACUAAAAUGUUUCUGUAGGGUACAGUCAUAGGAAGGAAGCGCAUCAUGGCCACAUGUAGAGGGUAAGAGGCUUAUCAGAACUCACUGGGUAAUAGCAUGAACACUCGAUCAGGCCAGCAUCAGCGGGAUUGUUGCACAGGUGAAGCAGAACAGGUGUGGGUUAGCUUACUU